CUGGGACAGGCUGCUUUGAGAAAGCUUGGAAUGCAGACGACAGGGAUAAAUCAGCACUGACAACCACACCUUCAGGAACAUUGUGUCAUUUCAUAACGAGACCACAUCAGAGGACGAAAAAACUGCCGGUCCAUCAGACUGUCGAGCUGCUGGGGCAGGAUACGCAGGAAGUCAUCAGGGAGGUUGCCUAGUAACGGAGGGUUCCAGUUCCUGUAGCUGCUGACCUGACGAUGCUCGGUUGGAGGAUUGGCUUCGAACCUGGCACGAAAAAAGAAAAUCAAGGGACAUGUGAAGAACCUUUAAGCGUUCUAAAUGAAAUUUCCCAUUUGUCUUUUCUGCGUUCUUGCCUGGGAGGAGGGAACGGCGGCACGUCAGCCGGGUGCUUCCUGUCAUAGAUGUGCAUCUCGUACGAGGGUGGAGAGUAAACAGGUGGGGGUUCUUCAUCCGAGCUGUCCGGCUCUAAUGUCCUUUCCAAGAUCUGCAGAAGAGAAAACGGUAACACGGUGUCGGUCUUAAGGUGUCGGUCAAGGUGACGGUAUUAAGGUGUCGGUCUACUAUGCAGAAGGUUAUGAGUUCAAACCCCAGCACUUCCAAAAUUACCGCUCUUGGGCCCUUGAGCAAGUCCCUCAGAUGUAUAAUUUAAAUAAACGUAAGUCACUCUGGAUAAGAGUGUCUG